GCGUGGUGUCUACACGUGCUAGUUUGCACACACACCACACUGGACACAUGAUCCACGUCAGUCAUCCACUGUGACUUCGGCGUUCCAGGGCAGGGGGAGAGGAAAGAGUCUGAGAAACUUGGAAGUUCUUUCCUGAGCUGGCAUUGCACCUUUGAAUGCUGGAAGAGCCAGUCUUCAGGGAGGAAGCUUCGAGCAUUUAACAUUUUGAGACAGGGCCUCUCACUGAACCUGGAGCUGCUGAUUUAACCAGACUGGCUGGCCAGCGAAUCCCAAAGACCCUCCUAAGUCCACUCCACAGAGCUGGGGUUGCUGCUACGUACUACUGUGCUGACUUUUUGGUGUGGAUUCUAUCUGAUCAAGCUCCAACCCACAUGCUUGUCUGCCACAUUUCUGUUUCUGUCUGUGACCUGUGGCCCAUCACUUGAAUGACCUUACCAACCAGGAUCAACCUUGGUACGCAUGGAAACUGUGACCUUGUGGAAGAUAACCUUUGGCAGGCGCUCGCUCUCCGGUUCUCCAGAGUCCAGUUUCACAUGGAGGCUGCAGGAAGCUGCUUCCCGCAGCCUGAGCCUUGAGGAGAAGCUGAUAAGACAAGGAGAACCACCUGGUAGCCGCGGCAGCACUUCAUCCAGGAUGAAAACAGGAUCUAAAAUAUAAACAACAUCCUCCCUCCAGAAGCCAGGGAUCAGCUCCCUCCCAAGUGUGUUUGACUCUGUUCUCCCAAGAGUCUCAUGAGAACCUUUACUGAGGCAGGAAGGUCAGUCAAGAUGAAGAAGCAGAGUUUUAAGGUUUCCGGUGGAAACCAUCAGAAAGCCUUUGUUUUGUUUUUAAAUUGUUAUUGUGGUUGAUGAUCUUUUAAGUUCAGAAGUAUGACCAAUAAUUGUUCGUUAUAGCCCUGAACUUGUUUUUAGAUGAGUAAAAAUGUAGACACCUCAAGUGUGACACCAUUGCUAAAGGAAAUGAUGCAGGUGGAUCAGAGGGACAAAGAAGCAAGGUUGCUGCUGAUCUCCUCUUUCCCAGGGCAUCUCUUCUGAAGUGGCUGCUAUUUUGUAACAGCAAAAUAGGACGUUUAUUUUGUUCAUUAUUUAUUGUUGGUAACUGAGCCAGCGUGUUUCUGCUCAUCAUAAGAAGCAGGGAACUUUUAUAGAAAGCAGCAAGGGCUCUCUCUCUCAGUCAGUCUCCAGUCAGUAUGUAAUGCCCCCAGGACUAGACUCCCACCAGGGUUGCUGAGGGCUGCAGCAGCUCUUACACAGACACUCAACCUAUCCCUGCUUUUCUUACUGUCAAAUGUUCAUUUUUCAUUUAUGUGUAUGGAUGUGCCUGUGUGCAUGCCCUCGGAGUCCAGAAGAGGUUGUUGGAUCCCCCGGAGCUGGAAUGAUUGUGAGCCACCUGCUGCGGGUGCUGGGACGUGAACUCGUGUUCUCUGGAAGAGUGGCCAGUGCUUAUAACCACUUAACCUUUUUUUUUUUCAACUCCCAAUUCUUGCUCUUAGAAAGAGAUUGUAUUAUGCCCACUCUCUUCCUUAAAGACCUUGUGACUGGGAAGAGUCAUGAUUCAUAUGUUAAUUUUUCUAUCAAGAUUAUCAAUGUCUCUCCAGUUGAAGAACCUCAAUGCAAACAGAGUUUCUUGCCCAUAGCCCCACGUUUUUAUUUUCUAUGCCGUUCAGUCAUUCAGGGAGAGACAGAUUUGCUGGCUUUGUUGAAAAUGCACUUGACUACUGGGACUAAUUUGAAAAAUUUCUAUCACUACCCAUUUCUCCUUUCACAAAGCAGAGAGAAAGAAUGAGAAAGAGAGCAAGGAGAGGAAGUGAGCCAGAGUUAGUUAAGUCAUGGUAUUAAUUUAUCCAGUCACAGAGCAAGUAUUGAUUGACUGUGUUUUAUGAAUAGGCAUCAUUCCAGUAACAAACACAAAGGGGAAAAGAUUGGGAAAAACCUCUUCCCUAUAGGAUCAUAUUCUCUAGAGUGGAAUCCAGUGAUCCGUAGUUCUAUUAUCAAUACUUAUAAAUUGAAAAUAUUACAAGAUAAUAAUGAAAAUAUCAUCAGUUAAAUUUUACUGGGUGGCAUACUAAGUACUUUACACGUAUUGACUGCUUAAGCUGCUAAAACAUUAUAUAAGUUUUAAGCUACAAAAGUUAAUGAGUCAUGAUUAUCCUCUCUUGGAGCUGUUGGCCUGUGAGGUCCCAGAGAUCUAACCAGCCCUCAAAGACUAUCGUCAUGGUAACCCAGUGAGAUGCAGCAAAACACAAAUUUCCUCCCCAUUUUAAUGAGAAAGAAACAGAGAAACCCAAGGCGCAGAGUGAUUUCAUGAACAGUAAGAGUGUGGGUGCUGGGAUUUCAAGCCAGGCCCUUUUUACCCCAAGAGUGGAUGCUGACACAAUAUGGGCAGCUCUCACUGACUUAAUCAUGUUUUCAACAUCAGCUUUAGAUCACGGUAGCCUGUAGCCCUGGGACUGCUUUCCCGGUGUGAAGGGAAGGCCUAGCGGAAGAGCAUCCUUUUGUGAUUAACCCCCACGACAAUGAAACAUGCAUCUUUGUCCUUGCUACCAGAAGCAACCUCAAGUACCGAUUUCCAGGGAAUGCCACAGAGAUUGACACCGAUGUCUGGUGUCACUGCACGGUUUCAUUAAUUCACGAACCCUGAUUUCCCCCGGGGCAGGCCAGUAUGCUGAACUCUGUCUACAAAAGUCCUCCUGUGACUUUCCUGUGGGCUGCAAUUGAUCCGCGCAAAGAGUUAAGGAACCUUCGCUGCCUGCAGGAAAUCUGCCGCUGAAUCCAGGGCCUGGCAGAGGAAGCAUUAAGUGUAUCAUGGGAGAGGAGGAAAGCAAAGUGCUAAAGUUGUUACUCUGAACAGAGGAUAUUGGAGCAUCCUGUAAAAAACUUCCUGUUUAGCCAGCAGACCAGAAAACAAGAUGAAAAAAACACCCCACUUCAAUGACUAUUGUGUCAAUAUAUUUUUAUACCGUCAUUAUCUUGGGCAGGACUUACUCACAAGAACUAGAUUCCCAGGGUGAGGAGUUCACAGCUGAAUCACAGCUUCCCGCCUUCCUUGUUUUGGAUGCUGCAUCCUAUCCUGGUAUCCCCUGUGUCAGGCUAUCCCUCAGCCGGCACUGUCAUUGCGCUCCCCCCUCCCCGCCACUCUGUGACUCUUGCUUUGGCUCACAUUAAACACCUCAUCACAUAGAGUCUGAUAACGCAUCUUAGAUAUUUGGGUUUUAACUCUUCUGCCCCUUCUAGGGUCGGGAGAUAAGGCACAGUCAUGCAGCAGAGACCAUAGAACACUUAGGGAUAGGUGACGCUCAGUUCUUGCCCGUGUGUUUCUUUACCAGAUACAUCCAAGUAGUACAGUUAGACGAAAUGCAAGGUGAAAAACAAGACUCUUAAAUGCCUUUAUUAUGAAUCUAGGGAUUAAUAAACUUCAGAUAUUUCAUCCAGCGUAUUUCAGGUGGUGGUGUGUUAUGAUGUGCAUAGCGCUGACACAGGAGUUACUCGGAGGAACAAGAUCUGUUUCUUUUUAAACUGAUCCUUGUUCAACAAUACCAGUCUGUGUUUGAUACUGUUACUGUUAGCUGCAUCCAAAACACAGUGAUUUGUUGUUUGGACAGGGCCUCACUCUGUAGCCCUGCUUGGCCUUUAACUCCUAGAGAUCUGCCUUCACAGUUCCAGAAUGAAAGGCAAGCAUCGUUAUCACCGGCUGAUUCAGUAUCGGGCUGAUUUGGUGGGUGUGCAUUCUUUAAGCCUGGUUGGAUCAUGGGAAAAUGUUCUUUCUCUGUCUACUGUGUCACUAUUGGGUACCGUCGUCUAGGUUGCCAUCUGUGGUCUUUAUAGAAAUCGAAGCUAUUGAUCCAGGCUCUUCAAAGUUUUCCUUGAGAAAUCAGACCUUGCUAUGUUGAGAUUUUCUUUGUAUACAACCUGUGGCUUUCCUACUGCAGUUUCAAUACUCUGUCUUUGUUCUUUAUGUUUAGUUUUAGAUAUAAGAUUCUUUUCUGGUUUUGUCUAUUUGGUAUUCUAUAUACUUCUCAUAUCUAUGAGGGUUUACUUUCCUUCAUUUUUUGUGGGGUGGGGUUCUUCUAUGACCCUGUUGAUGAUCUGGUCUAUGUCAUUGACUGAUUUUCUCUUCUUCAUAUGAUAUGAAGGCUUGUUCUUUUGAUGGAGACCACAAUUCCUCCAUGUUCCCAUUGUGUGUUUUUCAUGUGUGUGUUGAGUGGUCUAAUGCCUUCACUUCACUUUUCAGUCCUGAUAUUACAUCUUUGACUUAAUCCCUUCCCCUUGAAAGAUCUUCCCCUGAAUUUUCUAGUUGGGUUAUUGACUUUUUCAAUUUUAUCUUUACUUCAACUUAAGUUCUCUUCAGUAUUGAUAUUUUUAUUGAAUUUAGUUUUCAAAUCCUGAAUUAUUUCCAUCAUUUAUUUCAGCCAUAUGUCUAUGUUUUCUUAGGCAUCUCUCAGGCAUUUGUAAUUAUUCUCUUUAUGUUUAAUAAAUUAUUACUUCUUUAAACUUGAAUUCUUCAACAAAGGUUAUGAUUCUUUUAAAUUUUAUUUCCUGGUGU